GGCUAUUUCAAUGAAAUAAUUAAAAUUAAAUGAAAGAGAAUUGUAGUUCCUCAGUAGCACUAAUCAAUAGCCACAUGCAAUCAUGUUGGAUGGCACAGAUAUAGAACUUUUCCAUCAUCACAUAAAGUUCUAGUGGACAGCACUGGCCUCCAAUGUUGGUGUGAAAAUACUUAAUAUGGUGUAUACAUUAAAUUCUUAGGAUAGAUUAGUGCCAGCAUAGAGUGCUUUAUAAGUAGCAGCAGUAGGAAGAGUUAUUGUUUUGAGGAUAAUGAUGGUGAUGUUGAUAAUGAUGAGGAUGCUUUGUUACUCUGUUGGGGAAGUCAAAAAAGACACAGCCCAUGCCUGGUAUGUUCUCUGCUCAGAAUGAAAUCAGUAGGCCAAAAAAAGCCAAGAAUUAGAGAAAUGGAUAUGUCAACAUCAAAAGCUCAUCUCCCAGGAGAGUUAUGAAUGGAGAGAAGUGUCCUCCACUCUAGCCUAAGACUUCUUGUAGUAGGCGCUAAUUAAAGAAUCACUACAUUAUAACUAUAUUCACCAACUUUUAAGGGUGGGAGAAACACAGCCAGGAAGGCCUUGGAAUAUAAAAGAAAAACAUUGUGAUUUACUAGGUUAAUACUGUGCAUGUUUCCUUGGAGCUUAUCUGUUCUCAUGUGUACAGGACUGAUCUCAGGAUGAAAG
rnacentral:lncRNA from 1 species